GACGAACGCUGGCGGCGUGCCUAAUACAUGCAAGUCGAACGAACUGACGCUGGAACUUGUUCCAGUUGACGUGAGUGGCGAACGGGUGAGUAACACGUGGGAAACCUACCCUUCAGCGGGGGAUAACCGUCGGAAACGAUGGCUAAUACCGCAUAGGUCUUUGAGUCACCUGACUUAAAGAGGAAAGACGGCUUCGGCUGUCACUGAAGGAUGGUCCUGCGGUGCAUUAGCUAGUUGGUAAGGUAACGGCUUACCAAGGCGAUGAUGCAUAGCCGACCUGAGAGGGUGAACGGCCACAAGGGGACUGAUACACGGCCCUU
rnacentral:rRNA from 1 species